ACAAAAUUCUUGCUUCUGCUGUUCAUGUGGCUGCUUGAUCAGCAACUUGGCCCCUGUAGCACGGAUCCACAGGAUGUCUAUGCUCUCAGAUCUCUUUCUGGUGAAUGGAAAAAUGGACCUUCGAGUUGGAGGCACUCAGAUGAUCCGUGUGGUAAUUGGGAUGGAGUUAAUUGUAGCAACUCAAUAAGGGUCACAGAGCUGAAGCUAUUCAACAUGGG